rnacentral:snoRNA from 1 species
UCACUGUGAUGAUGCUUUUCCUGCCAUUCGUAGUUUCCACCAGAGGUCGCGAGACCAAAGAUGGCCCAAAUCCUUCCUUGGAUGUCUGAGUGA